rnacentral:rRNA from 1 species
UNNNCUCCGUGGNNCNUCUNNGCUCGUGAAACNGGGUCUAAUACCGAAUAUGACUUCGCGSUGCAUGGGCUGUGGUGGAAAGCUUUUGCGGUGUGGGAUGGGCCCGCGGCCUAUCAGCUUGUUGGUGGGGUGAUGGCCUACCAAGGCGACGACGGGUAGCCGGCCUGAGAGGGUGUCCGGCCACACUGGGACUGAGAUACGGCCCAGACUCCUACGGGAGGCAGCAGUGGGGAAUAUUGCACAAUGGGCGCAAGCCUGAUGCACCGACACCCCGUGAGGGAUGACAGCCUUCGGGUUGUAAACCUCUUUCAACACRGACAAACGCAAGUGACGGUAYCUGYAGAAGAAGGACCGGCCAACUACGUGCCAG